AAGCCCUCGCGCUCCGGGGCGCUGCGCUGGGCCGGCCCCUCUUCCGCCCGCGCGCCCCACGCCCAGCGCGCCAGGCCCGAGGCCUACGCUCCGAGGCCGCACUCACCACCUCGCUCCGCGCCUGCGCCGCGCGCCUCAGGGGCCCGCCGACUGGGCGGGGAGGUGACUAGGGGAGGGAGGGCACGGGGAGCGGGCUGCGCGGCCUCACGGCAAACCCGGCCUGGGAGGGACCACCCACUCGCAGCCCCGGCGGUGGCCCGGCGCCCCGCGCCCCGAGUCGGCGCUUCUGCGCAGCCUCAGGCCUUUUCUGGGCGGGGAACCGCCACUCCCGGCCCCAGAGGGGGAUUCCACCCUCCACUGUUGCUCCACAGCAGGCCGCCGGCGAGCGGGCUUCCCGCUGCCCACCCCGGCUCCUCCCUCUCGCCGUGGAAGAAGCGGGGGAAGCGCGGCGCGUGAGAAACCCCUUUCUACAUUUCUCCUCCAGGGGAAGUGCGAGAAUGGUCUUGCCCAGAAACAGGUCUCACUAUGUUGCCCAGGCUGGUCUUGAACUCCUAGCCUCAAGCAAUCCUCCCACCUGGGCCUCCCAAAGUGCUGGAAAUACAGGUGUGAACCCAGCCUGUUUCCAUCUUUUAAAAUUCUUUGCCAAUUUGGAAGCUCUAGAGAAUGUACCCCACUGAAACAAGGGUGUGAAUCAAGAAAGGAAUAUGAGAGCCCCAGUAAACAAGGAACACAACAAGAGAAAGGUUGCCUCCAAUUGCCUUCACCCUCUCUUCUCAAGGAUUGCAAAAUAUGUGAAAAAUGAAGUCAAAAUCACCUUUAGCGGGCAAAAAGGGUUCAUUUUUUGACUGUCGGAAAUAAGCCUGGCAGUGGGAAGUGUAUGUAAUAGGACUCAGUCAUGUUGAUUGAACGCAUUAAUCAAUCCUAUAAAGAAGAAUUGAAGGAACUGAGCACGAUUAACCUGGAGAAGGAGAAGUAUUUGGAGAGGAGACAAGAUUGCUAUCUUUGGAUACUUGAAGGCCUACUCUGUGGCAGACGGGGAGCAGAAUGGGGACACUAUAGAGACACUUCCAAUAAGCAGAUUUUUAUUCAUUACAUAUCAGCAGAGGAACAGCUUGAUCUUAAAACCAAAACCCAGAAGAGAAAAAAGUUGAUUCCUUUUCUGGGUUAUUUUUUUCAAGGCAUUUUUAUGGGGCACCUUAUUUCCCCCAUUAUUCAUUCACUUUUUUUUCUCCAAGGUUCACUGUAUGAGUUCCCUGAUUCAGCAGAAAAACUCCAUCUCUUUAUCAGCAUAGCUGCUUCCUGAGGAAUGAUGGUUCUCCUUGGGUCAUUACAUAGACUGCUUUUCAAGGCUUAGGAUUCCAUGGCUACAAUCAGUUAAGAGUAACGUACUGAGCUACCUUGGUCUAUAAAAAGGAGACAUAAGACAUGUGGUAAGACAUAAAUCAAUUUCAGGGCUACCUAAAUCUCCACAGUGUUGCUCCUAGUGGUGUCAUAUGCUAAGGACUGCCUACAAAUCAAUGUGAAACAUUAGUCUCUACAGACAAUGAUGUGUCUGUCACCCUUGGUAUUAUUUGUAUAUUACCUUGUUAUUAAUAUGUGUA